AUGGUCCCUAAAGCAGCCUAGGCGAAUAUCCAGCGAAUAUCAAACCUAAAACUAACUUUACAGCGCUGUAGAACUGACAUUUGAAGUAAUGUUACUAUAGGACUGUGGUUAAGUAGAGCAUUAUUUGCUUGUUCAGUAAUUUUACUGUAUUGGUAACAGUUUUGCAGCGGGCUUUGCGAAAGUGCAAAAUGACCUUUGCUGUAAGAUGUGACCCUGAACUUUGAAACAUGUAUUUAAUUUUUAUACAAAUGAUCUUUGAAUGUGCCACAUUUAUCUUUAAUGACUGUUUGAAGAAUAAACACCAACCUCCUUGUUCCUCGUGUCUUAUUCUGCAGGUUUCUGUUUCCUCUUGUUUUAUUCUGCAGGUUUCUGGUUCCUCUUGUUUUAUUCUACAUGUUUCUGGUUCCUCUUGUUUUAUUCUCCAGGUUUCUGAUUCCUCGUGUCUUAUUCUGCAAGUUUCUGGUUCCUCUUGUUUUAUUCUCCAGGUUUCUGGUUCACUUGUGUUCUCUUCACUCUCCUCUUUAACAAACUCCAUCUUCACAGCAGCAGAUCUCAGUUCAGAUGACACUCCUCCAGAUAUUAUUCCUGCUUGAUUCAAAAUUUAGUCACAACUGUGAGGAUGAGAAUAUUACAG